UGUAAACAAGAGGGAGAUGAGAAAAGUCAAGCACUGCAGUUGGGAUUAUUACUGUCAAAAAUUAACACAAAUUUGGUUCUAUUGUGAGUAUUUCAAGGGGCUCUUUUGUAAACAAAAGUUCUGUUAUACAAACUAGCAAUCUACCAAAUAGCAAUUUGUGUUGGAAAAUAAAUAAAUAAAUAAAUCAUGCACCAAUUUAAAAUAUGUUUCUUGUGAUUACUGGCUCAACCAUCCAGCUAUUGAACAGAGUGAGCAUGGUGUCAUCCACAUGUAUAUGGAUCCCCAUGUAACCCAUGACAAACAAAACAGGU